rnacentral:lncRNA from 1 species
GGCCGAGCUGCUGCUGCUGCGCACCGAGAUCGACCUGCUGCUGGCCAACCAGCACCCGAACCCCCAGUUCUUCACCCAGAUGCUGGUGGGGAGUGAGGAGCCGCUGGUGCCCGACUCGCCCGCACUGGCAGACGCAGAGACCCCGAAACGUGAGCCCCCACCUGAGGACUCCGGCUGGGCCUGCGCGUCCUGCACGUUCCUGAACCGCGGGCCCAGCGUCCUGUGCGGCGUCUGCGAGCGCCCCCGCCUGGCCAGGAGGCCCCAGCCCCC